ACUUCACCACACUGACCACCAGAGGGAAGCACUCACCCACUGAUGUCCAGUCCCUCAGGUCCCUCUACUCCAGCUUCACCCUGGGGAGCAGGCUCUGCAGGUGGCCCUGGGGUCGACAUAGGGUCUGCCUUGAAGGAAGAAGCUCUACAAACUAAACACUCCCUGAGUGCUGUAUGGGUUCUGCAGAGGCCCCUCUGCUUGGCUCUGUCCUUGCUGCUCUGGGUUACCUGGGUGUGCAGGGUUUUAUUGCUCAGAGCCAUGGCCAGUAGAUGGCAUAGCCUCCUGUUCCUGCAGCUGUCCCCACAGCCCCUGCUGGACAGGCCCAGAAUGGACCCUCUCAGAAGACAAGGACUCUCUCAGGCAUAACCCAGCUCAUCCUGACUGAUGCCACCAUUUCCAGAUAAGAGAAAUGCGACUGAGAAAGAUUAAGAUAUUUUCUUAAGAUUGGACAUUAUGUUCCUACCCACUGUGCUUGCCUUAUAGUUGAAAGAGAGUUUAUUUAAGCACAGAGAUCAAGCAAGAGUGGAGCACAGGACACACUUUCAGGUUGCCUUGGGGACUGCUCUGUAGAACAAAAAAUCAAACUCAAGAUUUUAAGGAAAACAAGUACAAGUGAAGAGAAGGCAUGAUUACCAAAGUUGUUGAUCUAAUUCUCAUUGAUUUACAGAAAUAACAGUGGCUAACGAUCAGCUAUACAUUGUUGAAUUAUAGGAUGUAUGGCAUUUAAAAAUGUAUUUAUUUAAAACUAAUUUUUUUUAGAUUUUUGAUGGAUUUAGGGGUACAGGUGCAGUUGUGUUACAUGGAUAUAUUUUGUAGAGAUGAAAUCUGGGCUUUUAUGUACAACUACCCAAAUAAGAUACAUUGUACCCAAUAGGCAGCAUUUCACUUUCACCCUCAUUCUAUCCUCCCACUGUUUGGAGCCUCCAAUGUCUAUCAUUCCACUCAGUAAGUCCAUGUCCAUGGUUUAGCACCCAUGUAUAAGUGGGAACAUGCAGUUCUUGAUUUUCUGUUUCUGAGUCAUUUCACUAAGGGUAAUGGCCUCCAGUUCCAUACACAUUGCUGCAAAAGUCAUAAUUUCAUUCACUUUUAUGGCUGAAUAGUAUUCCAUGGUGUAUAUCUACCAGAUUGUUUUAUUCAAUGAAGUGUUGAUGGACACUUAGGUUGAUUUCACAACUUUGCUAUUCUGAACUGUGCUACAAUAAACAUACAAAUGCAGAA
ensembl:lncRNA novel transcript